CCUACGGGUGGCUGCAGUGGGGAAUAUUGCACAAUGGGGGGAACCCUGAUGCAGCGACGCCGCGUGAGUGAAGAAGUAUUUCGGUAUGUAAAGCUCUAUCAGCAGGGAAGAAGAUGACGGUACCUGACUAAGAAGCCCCGGCUAACUACGUGCCAGCAGCCGCGGUAAUACGUAGGGGGCAAGCGUUAUCCGGAUUUACUGGGUGUAAAGGGAGCGUAGACGGCAGGGCAAGUCUGGAGUGAAAGCCCGGGGCCCAACCCCGGGACUGCUUUGGAAACUGCCAUGCUGGAGUGCUGGAGAGGUAAGCGGAAUUCGUGGUGUAGCGGUGAAAUGCUUAGAUAUCACGAAGAACCCCGAUUGCGAAGGCAGCUUACUAAACUGUGACUGACAUUGAUGCUCGAAAGUGUGGGUAUCAAACAGGAUUAGAUACCCUGGUAGUC
rnacentral:rRNA from 1 species